rnacentral:miRNA from 1 species
GACGGUGAGACUUCUGCAAAGC